GGGGUUCUAGCUCAUCGGUAGAGCGCUCGCUUAGCAUGCGAGAGGCGCUGGGUUCGAUUCCCAGGUACUCCA
rnacentral:tRNA from 4 species